GAAAUGCGAUACUUGGUGUGAAUUGCAGAAUUCAGUGAAUCAUCGAGUCUUUGAACGCACAUUGCGCCCCCUGGUAUUCCGGGGGGCAUGCCUGUCCGAGCGUCAUUGCUGCCCUCAAGCACGGCUUGUGUGUUGGGCCCCGUCCCCGGGGGAGGGGACGGGCCCGAAAGGCAGCGGCGGCACCGCGUCCGAUCCUCGAGCGUAUGGGGCUUUGUCACCCGCUCUGUAGGCCCGGCCGGCGCCAGCCGACACCCAACUUUUAUUUCUAAGGUUGACCUCGGAUCAGGUAGGGAUACCCGCUGAACUUAA
rnacentral:misc_RNA from 1 species